AACUGGGAGCACUGGGGUCAUACUGGGAGCACUGGGACCCCCAACUGGGAGCACUGGGAGCUCUGGGGUGGUGCUUGAAGAGCUGUGUCUCUGGCAUCGCACUGGUCCGUACUGGUUUUUACUGGUCUAUAUGGUCCAUACUGGUCUGUACUGGUUCUUACUGGCCCAUAUGGUCCAUACUGGUUUGUACUGGUCCAUAUGGUCCAUAGUGGUUUUUACUGGUCCAUAUGAUCCAUACUGGUUCGUACUGGUUCUUACUGGUCUGUACUGGUCCACAUGGUCCGUACUGGUUCUUACUGGUCCAUGUGGUCCGUA
rnacentral:lncRNA from 1 species